GAUGAACGCUGGCGGCGUGCCUAACACAUGCAAGUCGAGCGAGCUGAUCCCUUCGGGGUGAAGCUAGCGGCGGACGGGUGAGUAACACGUGGGCAACCUGCCUCAUAGAGGGGAAUAGCCUCCCGAAAGGGAGAUUAAUACCGCAUAAGAUUGUAGCUUCGCAUGAAGUAGUAAUUAAAGGAGCAAUCCGCUAUGAGAUGGGGCCCGCGGCGCAUUAGCUAGUUGGUGAGGUAACGGCUCACCAAGGCGACGAUGCGUAGCCGACCUGAGAGGGUGAUCGGCCACAUUGGGACUGAGACACGGCCCAGACUCCUACGGGAGGCAGCAGUGGGGAAUAUUGCACAAUGGGGGAAACCCUGAUGCAGCAAUGCCGCGUGAAGUGAUGACGGCCUCGGUU
rnacentral:rRNA from 1 species